UACGUAGGGUCCGAGCGUUGUCCGGAAUUAUUGGGCGUAAAGAGCUUGUAGGCGGUCUGUCGCGUCUGCUGUGAAAAUCCGGGGCUCAACCCCGGACUUGCAGUGGGUACGGGCAGACUAGAGUGUGGUAGGGGAGACUGGAAUUCCUGGUGUAGCGGUGAAAUGCGCAGAUAUCAGGAGGAACACCGAUGGCGAAGGGAGGUCUCUGGGCCACUACUGACGCUGAGAAGCGAAAGCAUGGGGAGCGAACAGG
rnacentral:rRNA from 1 species